rnacentral:rRNA from 1 species
CCUACGGGAGGCAGCAGUGAGGAAUAUUGGUCAAUGGGCGCGAGCCUGAACCAGCCAAGUCGCGUGAGGGAGGACGGCCCUACGGGUUGUAAACCUCUUUUGCCGGGGAGCAACGGGCGUCACGUGUGGCGCCACUGAGAGUACCCGGAGAAAAAGCAUCGGCUAACUCCGUGCCAGCAGCCGCGGUAAUACGGGGGAUGCGAGCGUUAUCCGGAUUUAUUGGGUUUAAGGGGUGCGUAGGGGGUUGGUUAAGUCAGGGGUAAAAGUGAGGGGCACAACCCCAUCCCGCCAUUGAAACUGGCGCUCUUGAGUGGAAGAGAAGUAGGCGGAAUGCGUGGUGUAGCGGUGAAAUGCAUAGAUAUCACGCAGAACCCCGAUUGCGAAGGCAGCAUGCCGGCUUCCGACUGACGCUGAAGCACGAAAGCGUGGGGAUCGAACAGGAUUAGAUACCCGAGUAGUC